GGCCAGCUUUUAAACCAGUGAUGC
rnacentral:piRNA from 1 species